rnacentral:rRNA from 1 species
CCUACGGGUGGCAGCAGUGGGGAAUAUUGGACAAUGGGCGAAAGCCUGAUCCAGCCAUGCCGCGUGUGUGAAGAAGGCCUUCGGGUUGUAAAGCACUUUCAGUGGGGAAGAAAGCCUUGGGGCUAAUACCCUCGAGGAAGGACAUCACCCACAGAAGAAGCACCGGCUAACUCCGUGCCAGCAGCCGCGGUAAUACGGAGGGUGCGAGCGUUAAUCGGAAUUACUGGGCGUAAAGCGCGCGUAGGCGGUCUGAUAAGCCGGUUGUGAAAGCCCCGGGCUCAACCUGGGAACGGCAUCCGGAACGGUCAGGCUAGAGUGCAGGAGAGGAAGGUAGAAUUCCCGGUGUAGCGGUGAAAUGCGUAGCGAUCGGGAGGAGUACCAGUGGCGAAGGCGGCCUUCUGGACUGACACUGACGCUGAGGUGCGAAAGCGUGGGUAGCAAACAGGAUUAGAUACCCGUGUAGUC